rnacentral:misc_RNA from 1 species
GAAGUGCGAAAAGUAAUGCGAUUUGCAUGAAUCUGUGAGUCAUUAAAUCUUUGAACGCAUCUUGCACCGCAUCAAGCGGUAUAUCUAGUCGAGUUGCACACAUCAAUGUGUUAAUAUCAUAUUGAGUGCGAUAGCUGGCACUCUAAAUGUAUCUAUUUGUGCAUUUGUUGAUCAUAUUCAAUGCAUAACAUGUCUCUCAUAUCGCACUCGACUAGAUAAGGCUACCCGCUAAACUUAA